UGGCAGCGGCCCCUUCCCGAGGUGCGGCGGGGACGGAACCCGCGGGUGUCCCGACUCCGGUGUCCCCCGUGUCCCCACGUGCAGGUCAUUUCCCUUCACCGAUUGGAAAAGACCUCUCGGAGGGAGUCCAACCUAUAAUCAAACACCACCGUGUCAACCAGACCAUGGCACCAGGCUUUCCUUAAACACCUCCAGGGACCGUGGCUCCUCCACCUCCUUGGGAACCUGUUCUAGUGUCUAAUCUUCUUUCUGUGAAGAAAUUCUUCCUCACACAGACUGAUGUUUCCCCUGAGAAGCAUGAGUCUACCUGUAGAACGCCUUGCUCUGACACCUUCUCCUACAAUAUGAAAACUUGGCGACUUGGAACAAUUUGGGUGGGAAAUUUAACCAUAGCUGAAGAGACCUGGCACCUGCAGAGACAGGUCCUUCACCGAUGCUGAAUUUUUUCCCAGAAGCUGGACAAAAAGUCACAUAUUAUCCAUGUUACACCAAAAUGUUGGGCAAGAAGGAAAGUGAGGGGGUCAAAUGGACCUUACAAUGGGCAAAAUUUGGCCAACAUUAAAUUUUUCUGAGUGCAGAGCCAAGACUACAGCCUCAGGAAGAUAAAGGUGUCAUUUCCUCAGGUGUCAUCUCCAAGGGGUUUGAUCAGUGUGUUCCCCAUGGAAGGCUGCAGGUACCACAGCAGGAGCACUGCAAUGUGGCUGAGUGUGUCAACUGGUGACUUUUUUUUUACCCAGAAUGUGUUUUUGAGCAUGCUUCAGGGAAAAUGUAAUCCUGUUUUGCAGCAGGUGGUGAUGGGUUCAGCACAACUCUAGGAAGCUGUGCUGUGUUUUAGUACCCAAGAGCCGGGAUUGUCACAGACUACUUGCUCAAGUCAACCUUUUUCCAUCACUGAUUUGCAAAGCAUCCCAUUUUUUCUUAUGCAUUUAAUAUAUAAAUCACUGGAAUCUAACAUGUCUUUAAUGUGUCUGAUUUCCAGUGUCUUCUCAGUUAAUUUUUCUCCAUUAAAGUGAUUUUUGUGCUUCCAAAGACCCUUUUCCCAAACGAUCAAAGCCAGAAUUCAGAUGAGUCUCUUGCUUUGCAUGUGAGACAAGUUUUCUCUAGAAAGGAGGGAAUUUCUGUGUUAGGGAUAGCACAGGGCCCAGUUUACAUUUCCAAAUAGUGAAACCAGGCAUUUUGCUUCAUGUAAUUUACAGCUAAGUAUCUAAUUAAGUAAUUGCCUAUUAGUUCAAAGAUUGCUUUUCGUGCAACUGGCUUUGAAAAAGUCCUGCCUAAAAACAAGCAGAAAGAGGAAAAAUUAAAGUGUUGCUUUUCUUGCCUGAUUUUAAUUACUCUUUUUGUUUCCCAGAGAAUGUAGUGCCCCAGGAUUGUGGUGCAGGGGACCAGAGGUGCAUGGGAGCUCCCAGCGCUGAGCACAUCUAGGAAGUCACUAAUAUUUGUAUAAUUAAUUGAUUUUCAAGCUCCUCCGUGGUGCUCUCUGAAAGCAUUUCAAGCUCAACACACAGAAGCUGUUUCUCCAUGAGCAGCUGUGGGGCAUUUGGCUGAUGGUUUUGACAGCAGAGAUGAAUUGAGGACGUGGCAUCUGCAGUCCUGACCUGGAAUUUGAGCCCUUUAGUGCCUCUCCCUCCUCCCAGACAGAGAGGAGGCGGAAGAUCUCGGAAUCUUCUGAUUGCCAUCGAUCUGAUUUUGCUGAGCACUGGACUUCUAUCACGUCUGUGUGUUCCUUGAGAGAUGAUUUCAAUCUCAAAAAACCCCCUGUAAGUAUCUUGAGAGCUGGAAAUCAGAUGAUCUGAUCUAGCAUUUCUCCAGCAUUUAGCCAUCACCUCUACAACCAGCACCUCAUUUAAAAAAAACAACAAAGCAAACAUGAAAUAUAAGGAAAACCAUGAGAUAAUGUUGCUGAUUUUGAGCCCUGACUUACAUGUGUUUCCUUUCUGAUAUUUUUGGAGGGAAGAAUUGGAUCUACCUUUUUUUUUUUUUUCCCCCAACAUCUGGGAGGACUAGACACUUCUUUACCAGAGGGGAAAAAAAUAAAUUGAGAUUUCCAGGUGGUAACGUGGCUGAAAGAAAACAUGAAUACAUGGAAAUUCAUGCUCAUUACUACUGGCACAGAUGUGGCUCUGUAGAGCUGAAGCUAACCAGGGUGUAGAGAUGAGAACUGCAUAUAAUUGAAGCCCUGAUUAAUUAAAAGCAAUUUCUUGGCACAGACAAUGAUGGAGCAUUCUUGGGUGGAUCUCACAUGUCCCAGUGGACAGGGCCUGCUGCCUGUGCUGGGGUGAGGCUUUGUGUGGGCAGACAAGGGGUAGAAAAGUGGCUUUGCCAAGAAAGCCAAGCCAAGAGGAGCAGCAAGCCACCUCUCCACUGCAGCUUCAGGUGUGUUGCUGCACCCAGCACACAUGUGCUCCAUGCUUCUCCAGGGCUCUACACUUGGAACAGCUGCUGGAGGAAGUGUGGGAUCAGGAAGGGAAUUUUGUGCACACAGGGCAAUGACCUUAUUGUGCAGGAUCAUAAGCAAAACCCUGAAAGACAACUGAUGGAUCCAGCAGCCCUGGGAACACUGCUGGAACCACCAGCUUCAUGGAACAUUUUCCUGGAGUCCAGCAGUGGUUUUCUGGAGUUAAAAAUUGAUCAAAUUUCCUUUCCUCCCUUCCCCCCCCCCGAAAGGCUUUUUUGUUAUCUGUGUCCAAAAUCUCCAGCAGAAACUCCAUGAUUGGAGCAAUUUGGUCCAAUGCCAUGAGAAGGGACUGCUCCACACACCUUAGGAAGUGCGAAAAGGAGAAAGAAAAGAAAGUAGAGCCCUUCAUGCUGCGCCUGAUCGCUCAUCAAAGCCAGCUGCCUCCUGUGCUGACCUGAGGACAUGACAGAUGUCUGUAGCCUUUACAGGUGCAGGGCCUGCAUUUCAUCAGUCUUUUUUCCAUGGAUGACCUGGAGUGUGGAUUAUUAGCAGCUCCGAUUUCUUUGGCGAAGGUGCUUUGUUGUGUACACAUCCGGGUUAAAUCAAAACAAUAUUUCUGAUCCAUGUAGGCUUCUGAGUCAGUUCUGCAUCUUUGGUGUUUACAAAAUGAUCAGAGUUUGAACUCUCCCUGUUCUGUUUCUUAAAUGUCAGCAGAAACUUUUUUUUUUUUUUUAAAUAAAACAAUGCAGCCUUCCCCUGCAAUGUUUGUAACCAAGAAACUGUGGCAUCACAAGAGCAUGAAGAAAUACUGGCUGAUUAAAACCAGGGUAAGAAAUGA